rnacentral:lncRNA from 1 species
GGACAUCUGAUGUGGAAGCCAUGUGUGAAGUUUUAUAAGCUCUUGGAGAGCGACAGCGAUUCUGAUGAGGGUGCUAAGCUUAGUUCAUCCGCCUCAUUGACUGAACCUUCCAUGGAGCUGAGGGGCCCACAGGGUUGUGGAUGAGUUAUUGGCUGAGGAAAGGUCCUGAGAGAAUUCAGCUUGGCUUUUGAAAAAUUUUCCCCCUUCAUUGAGUUAUGCAGGAUCUGAUGAAAGCAAGAAGGGGGAGUUACCUCAGGAAGACACAGGAGGCAUUGCCCCCUUGGGGAGUGGAGCUGUGAAGUAGAGAAGGACUCUCUGCGUUUCAAAGCUCCCAGCUUUCCUGUUCUGACUCUCUCACUGCAGAGUGGGGGCAGACCCCUCCCUGAAUGCUUCCAGGUGCAGGUCCUCCCUCUUGGAGCUCUUGGAAGGACACGAGUUGGUCCCCCCUCACCACCUCUGACACCUAUGGCAGAGGGCACUCUGCAAGAAAGAAGCCAUCAGUUUGGAGAGGGGAUGAAUUAAGGUCUCAUGUAGCCCAGGAUGGCCCUAUGAAGCUGAGGAUGUCUUUAACUCCACCAGGACCUCCUAUCAUCACCUCUCAAGCACUGGGAUUACAUGUGUGCAGGGGCCAUCGCCUUUAUCUCAGCUCCUAUGACAUCUUUAUCAAACAAUGAGCUCUACAUUCCAUAAACAGAAACCAGAAGG